CAUUACCGAGUUUACAACUCCCAAACCCAAUGUGAACCAUACCAAACUGUUGCCUCGGCGGGGUCACGCCCCGGGUGCGUCGCAGCCCCGGAACCAGGCGCCCGCCGGAGGGACCAACCAAACUCUUUCUGUAGUCCCCUCGCGGACGUUAUUUCUUACAGCUCUGAGCAAAAAUUCAAAAUGAAUCAAAACUUUCAACAACGGAUCUCUUGGUUCUGGCAUCGAUGAAGAACGCAGCGAAAUGCGAUAAGUAAUGUGAAUUGCAGAAUUCAGUGAAUCAUCGAAUCUUUGAACGCACAUUGCGCCCGCCAGUAUUCUGGCGGGCAUGCCUGUCCGAGCGUCAUUUCAACCCUCGAACCCCUCCGGGGGGUCGGCGUUGGGGAUCGGGAACCCCUAAGACGGGAUCCCGGCCCCGAAAUACAGUGGCGGUCUCGCCGCAGCCUCUCCUGCGCAGUAGUUUGCACAACUCGCACCGGGAGCGCGGCGCGUCCACGUCCGUAAAACACCCAACUUUCUGAAAUGUUGACCUCGGAUCAGGUAGGAAUACCCG
rnacentral:misc_RNA from 1 species